UCUGCAUAUUUCAAGCUCUCCUCGGAGUGUGCCCCGGGUGGCAGGGCCAGGCCGUGGUACUUGAUGUAGCUCUGCCAGGACAUAGCGACUGGAGCUCUGCUGUAGGACAGUCACGCUUCACUCCUUAAGGAGUACAGGAAUCAGUCAAAUGUAUGAUGUAGCACUUGGAGGA